rnacentral:rRNA from 1 species
CCUACGGGUGGCAGCAGUGGGGGAUAUUGCACAAUGGGGGAAACCCUGAUGCAGCGACGCCGCGUGGGCGAAGAAGUAUUUCGGUAUGUAAAGCCCUAUUAGCAGGGAAGAAGAAAUGACGGUACCUGAGUAAGAAGCACCGGCUAAAUACGUGCCAGCAGCCGCGGUCAUACGUAGGGUGCAAGCGUUAUCCGGAUUUACUGGGUGUAAAGGGAGCGCAGGCGGGACGGCAAGCCUGAUGUGAAAGCCCGCGGCCCAACCGCGGGACUGCAUUGGGAACCGCCGGGCUGGAGUGCCGGAGAGGUAGGCGGAAUGCCUGGUGUAGCGGUGAAAUGCGUAGAUAUUAGAAGGAACACCAGUGGCGAAGGCAGCCUACUAGACGGUGACUGACGCUGAGGCUCGAAAGCGUGGGGAGCAAACAGGAUUAGAUACCCUGGUAGUC